AGCGAACGCUGGCGGCAGGCCUAACACAUGCAAGUCGAACGAACUCUUCGGAGUUAGUGGCGGACGGGUGAGUAACACGUGGGAACGUGCCUUUUGGCUCGGAAUAACUCAGGGAAACUUGUGCUAAUACCGAAUGUGCCCUUCGGGGGAAAGAUUUAUCGCCAUUAGAGCGGCCCGCGUCUGAUUAGCUAGUUGGUGAGGUAACGGCCCACCAAGGCGACGAUCAGUAGCUGGUCUGAGAGGAUGACCAGCCACACUGGGACUGAGACACGGCGCAGACUCCUACGGGAGGCAGCAGUGGGGAAUCUUGCGCAAUGGGCGAAAGCCUGACGCAGCCAUGCCGCGUGAAUGAUGAAGGUCUUAGGAUUGUAAAAUUCUUUCACCGGGGACGAUAAUGACGGUACCCGGAGAAGAAGCCCCGGCUAACUUCGUG
rnacentral:rRNA from 1 species